rnacentral:rRNA from 1 species
UACGAAGGGGGCUAGCGUUGCUCGGAAUUACUGGGCGUAAAGCGUGCGCAGGCGGCUUCUCAAGUCAGGGGUGAAAGCCCAGAGCUCAACUCUGGAAUUGCCUUUGAGACUGAGUGGCUUGAGUACGAGAGAGGUGAGUGGAAUUCCCAGUGUAGGGGUGAAAUUCGUAGAUAUUGGGAAGAACACCGGUGGCGAAGGCGGCUCACUGGCUCGUAACUGACGCUCAUGCACGACAGCGUGGGGAUCAAACAGG